rnacentral:rRNA from 1 species
UACGAAGGGGGCUAGCGUUGUUCGGAAUCACUGGGCGUAAAGGCGCGUAGGCGGCCGUUCAAGUCGGGGGUGAAAGCCUGUGGCUCAACCACAGAAUUGCCUUCGAUACUGGACGGCUCGAGACCGGAAGAGGUCAGUGGAACUGCGAGUGUAGAGGUGAAAUUCGUAGAUAUUCGCAAGAACACCAGUGGCGAAGGCGGCUGACUGGUCCGGUUCUGACGCUGAGGCGCGAAAGCGUGGGGAGCGAACAGG